GGCUGGCCUAAAGGCAGUGAGCUAUCUCAAAUGAGGGUUCACAACCAGUUACAGACUGAACUCCUUGCUCUAUUCUCUACCCCAUUCUCACUACUUCACUGAACUAGUUUAAA
ensembl:misc_RNA Y_RNA Y RNA